AGCAGUAGCCACGGGAAUACGAAGGGUGCAAGCGUUAAUCGGAAUUACUGGGCGUAAAGCGUGCGUAGGCGGUUUGUUAAGUCUGCUGUGAAAUCCCCGGGCUCAACCUGGGAAUGGCAGUGGAUACUGGCAAGCUAGAGUGUGUCAGAGGAUGGUGGAAUUCCCGGUGUAGCGGUGAAAUGCGUAGAGAUCGGGAGGAACAUCAGUGGCGAAGGCGGCCAUCUGGGACAACACUGACGCUGAGGCACGAAAGCGUGGGGAGCAAACAGGAUUAGAUACCCCGGUAGUCCCUGUCUCUUAUAC
rnacentral:rRNA from 1 species